CCUGGUUGUUCUUGCUGUUUCUUUGAUUUCUCAUCUCAUUGCCCACCCACCCUUCACGCCUUUUUCUCAUCUUGCUCUUCUUCCUUCUGCUCUUUUUUUGAUUUCAAGCAGCACAACGAAGGGCUCCAUAUUGCACACGGACUUACUCAAGAACAAUAGUAGGCCCAUGUUUAGGGCACAUGAUCUCAUCGACUAUUAUAGUAGAGAUAUCAUUGGGAGGAUGGGAUAAUGAUGAAACAGUUCAAUGAGUAGCUAUAAGCCUAUAAGAGAGGCUAUUGAAAAAGCAAGUGUUCGAGAAGAUCUAAAGAUUGUAUGAUGGCCAAAUAAUGGAUGAAAGCUAAUAGAUUGAGUGAUGAAUACAACAAAGGGAGUGCAUAAUUUUCUAGAAUUUGCAUUCAAUCACACAAAACUAGAGAAUCCGAUUCCCUGUCCUUGUGUCAAGUGCAAUAAUGCUUUGCUCAAAACUAGAGAUGAAGUUGAAGAGCAUCUAAUGGUGGAUGGCAUAGUGAAAAGUUACACUCGUUGGUUGUAUCAUGGAGAGGUCAUCAUUGAAGGAGAAACUAAUCAUAAACUGCAGGUUAAUGAUUUUGAUGAUAUGUUCAGCAUGAUUUAUGAUCCAGCUGGACGAAAAAUCAUGGAUACCAUAAUGCAAGAUGCUAGCAACCAAGAGCAUGAUGAUUCUAAUAUUUUUGAACAUGGUGAAUGCGAGAGUCAACCUUCUAAACUUCCGAAUCUUCGCAAGGAGGCUUCUAAAUUUUUCAAGCGAUUAGAAGAUGCCCAACAAAAGCUAUAUCCUAAUUGUGAGAACUUUACAAAGUUGUCUUUUAUUGUUAAGCUAUUUCAGAUCAAGUGUUUAUUUGGGCUUAGCGAUAAAGCUAUAAAUAGCUUAAUGCAAUUGUUUAAGCAAGCACACCCUAGUGGUGAAAUUCUACCCAAAUCUUUUUAUGAAGCAAGAAAAAUGAUUAAAGAUUUGGGUCUUGAUUAUGAGAAAAUAGUUGCUUGUACAAAUGAUUGUAUGUUGUUUUGGAAAAAGAAUGUGAAGCUUGAUCAUUGUUUGAUAUGUGGGGAGUCCAGAUGGAAAUCAAAUGACACUUGGAAGGGUGACAAAAAUGUUUCAAAGAAAGUUUUAUGCUACUUUCCUCUAAAACCAAGACUACAAAGGUUGUUUAUGUCAUCAAAGACAGCUUCCGACAUGAGAUGACAUCAUGACCAGCGUCCUAAUGAUGGUAUUCUGAGGCAUCCGACAGACUCUCCAGCAUGGAAAUCUUUUGAUGAAUCAAAUAUAGGAUUUGCUAGAGAACCUCGAAAUGUGAGACUUGGAUUAUCAACUGACGGAAUGAAUCCUUUUGGUAACAUGAAUGUUUCAUAUAGCAGAUGGCCUGUGAUUUUUACUGUAUAUCAUCUACCUCCAUGGAUGUGCAUGAAACAACCAUAUUGUAUGUUAACUUUGUUAAUACUUGGACCUAAAGCUCCUGGAAAUGAUAUUGAUGUUUAUUUACAACCUUUAAUAGAUGAAUUGAAAGAUUUGUGGUAUAAUGGAGUCGAUACUUAUGAUGCUUCAACGAAAGAGAGUUUUCGAAUGCGUGCUGCAAUUUUAUAGACUAUCAGUGACUUUCCUGCAUAUGCAUACUUAUUAGGGUGGAGCGCAAAAGGUACAUUAGCUUGUCCUACAUGUAAUGA